rnacentral:lncRNA from 1 species
CACAUCUACUUAGUAGUAGAGUCAGGGUCUGAACCCAGGUCCUCUCAUUCAGAAUUCCAUGUUUUUUCCACUAUAGCCUGCUGCUAUUAUUGGUGCUGCCAAUUUUGCCAGUUCAGGAGGAACUAGUGCCUUGAUGUUUCAGAUCUCUCUCAAGGAUACAAUUGUGGAUGGACUGCUAUUCCCUGUGAAGAAGAUAGCAAUACCAAAAAUGACCAUUUAAAAAUUCUCCAAUGUAGAAAGCAACAUUAUAAUGAUAAUCAACUGUGGAAGACUCAGCAACACUAACCAAUACAACAAUCCAUGAGAGGUCUAAAGAACUCAUAAUGAAAUAAACUCUCCACCACGUGGCA